GUAAAAAGGAACAACUGGUUAACUGUUAACAUCUCUGCAAUGACAGCGAUACAAACUGGGUGUUUGUUCAGCUAAACCCUGAUCAGCACCGAAGCGUUGCUUCUCUUCAGCUUGCCGCUGUUUGCUAGUCAGGAUGAACUCGAUGAGGUUGUCAGAACAUGGAAUACACACAAGAUAAGAUUGAGGCCUGCACAUGGUGUGGACAGUGGACGGCCCAUUCUCAUGUCGUCUAUGCCAGAACUCUAAGGAGCAGAGGACAAACUCAAGACUGUAUCACCUGAGGAAGUUACUCUGUGCAAGGAAGAGUGCACACCCAAGGGACAGUACCCCUGUGAUGAGACAGUUUUUGAGCUCUGCAUUCUCCUCGUGUGAAAAUGGUUGGAGCCCUCCUGUGGAUGCAUACAGUGCCAUUGAUCCAUACUCAUUUUUAAGAAAUGAGAUGCUUGACAAUAUUUAGAUUCUUUGACAUGGCAUUGUAGCAUUCCUGUCUGAAUUAGACCAGCUUUCCAACUGAUGCUUUUCUUUUUCUUUAUUUUGAUAUUCACAUUGUAUGUGUCAUGCUCCUCCUGCUCUUGAGUGCUGACUCAUUAAGAUAAUGACAAGCGGCUGUGCUGGAGACGCAGCCAGUGCGAAUCUGCAAUCAGCGGCUGAUAAAACCCGGCUCUCCACACAGUACUGACGCUGGGACAUUACAUGCAGUACUCUGCCACACUCAUGUCUCUGUCAGGACUCUGUUGGACAUUAUACUCGCCGCACUCACCUUUUGCACGUCGCUCACCACUUCACACACAUCGCUUCCUGGAUUCAGUUUCACUUUUGGAUUACCUCAAUCUGCUCAGCUUUCCCGGUCUGCUCCUGGUCCAUCUGCAUCCCAGCCCUCGCCACCUUCCCUCAACUCUGCCUCAGUUCAUUCUUUGAUCCACCGGACAUUCUGUGAGUCACCCCUCUCCCCUGUUAGUUAGUUUAUUUUAGUAGACACUUCGGCCGUUUGGUUCACCUUCAGUUUUGUUAGUUUUGAGUUCCCCGUUCAGUUCAAUCCCCGUGCCUCUCUUCUAGAGUGCUUUCCCUUUGUUGUUUUCUGUUUAAUAAAUCCUUUUUAAUUCA